rnacentral:rRNA from 2 species
UCAUUAAAUCAGUUAUCGUUUAUUUGAUAGUACCUUACUACUUGGAUAACCGUGGUAAUUCUAGAGCUAAUACAUGCUAAAAACCCCAACUUCGGAAGGGGUGUAUUUAUUAGAUAAAAAACCAAUGCCCUUCGGGGCUCUUUGGUGAUUCAUGAUAACUUCUCAGAUCGCAUGGCCUUGCGCCGGCGACGGUUCAUUCAAAUUUCUGCCCUAUCAACUUUCGAUGGUAAGGUAUUGGCUUACCAUGGUUUCAACGGGUAACGGGGAAUUAGGGUUCGAUUCCGGAGAGGGAGCCUGAGAAACGGCUACCACAUCCAAGGAAGGCAGCAGGCGCGCAAAUUACCCAAUCCCGACACGGGGAGGUAGUGACAAUAAAUACUGAUACAGGGCUCUUUUGGGUCUUGUAAUUGGAAUGAGUACAAUUUAAACCUCUUAACGAGGAACAAUUGGAGGGCAAGUCUGGUGCCAGCAGCCGCGGUAAUUCCAGCUCCAAUAGCGUAUAUUAAAGUUGUUGCAGUUAAAAAGCUCGUAGUUGAACCUUGGGCCUGGCUGGCAGGUCCGCCUCACCGCGUGUACUUGACCGGCCGGGCCUUCUCUUCUGGAGAACCUCAUGCCCUUUACUGGGCGUGUUGGGGACCAGGACUUUUACUUUGAAAAAAUUAGAGUGUUCAAAGCAGGCCUUUGCUCGAAUAUGUUAGCAUGGAAUAAUAGAAUAGGACGUGCGGUCCUAUUUUGUUGGUUUCUAGGACCGCCGUAAUGAUUAAUAGGGACAGUCGGGGGCAUCAGUAUUCAAUUGUCAGAGGUGAAAUUCUUGGAUUUAUUGAAGACUAACUACUGCGAAAGCAUUUGCCAAGGAUGUUUUCAUUAAUCAGUGAACGAAAGUUAGGGGAUCGAAGACGAUCAGAUACCGUCGUAGUCUUAACCAUAAACUAUGCCGACUAGGGAUCGGGCGAUGUUUCAAUAUUGACUCGCUCGGCACCUUACGAG